UAUUUUAUAUAUCAAUUCACAUCCUAAAUUUAGAAUUGAUUCAAGUAAAACAUUUUCUUGAUGGCUGAUUUCUAAUUCUACAUCAUUAUUUCAAUCAUUCUUCAAAAUUGGAUACCUUUACAGGGCUAAAACAUGUUAGAAUGGAUUGGAUAAUUCGGUCAAUCAAAUGGCAGCAGAGUUUAGCAUUUUGGGUUAUAUGGAACUAGUCUAGAAUCUCACCUUUUGUACACUUUGUUGAACAGUGAUUCAGUUUGCAACAAAGUAAAAAUAAAAUGAGGCACAAAAUCAUCACUUGAAUAUUUUCUUUCUUUAAAAAUCCAGGAUUAAGACAUAGCUAUGGAAUGAUAGAAAAGGAAGACAUAAGGUAGAUAGGAUUCUCACUGCCUAUUGGUAAUCCAUGGACAAGUGAUCUCACUGUUGAAGAAGACUAUACAUUCAAAUGCCACAGUAGCCCGUGCUGCUUCCCAGUCUCAAAUUUCACCUGUUCCAAGAGGCUGCCUCGAGGCAUCACCAGACGCCCAUGCUUGAUAGUCUUUAACAAGCUGCACAUAAUUAAAAGAAAAUAUAAAUCUUCAGACAUGGCAAUGGCAAUGGCAGUAAACCAAUCGCGGAACAAAAUGUCAAGAUACCGAUAACAAGAGUUCCAAUCAAGACAUAAUAACAGGAUAAAACUGGGAGAUUUAUAUUAUCAUGUCAUUGCAUGAGAAAUUCUAGAAAGUUAGUUCUGGAAUCUGAAUCACAAAAUUUAUUACUGAAUGACCAAAAUGACAAUGGAGAAUAACAAAUAAUCUGCAGAAAAAAGAGGCAUGCUUGCAACUACUGAAAAUUUAUAACAGAGUUUUGAAGUUUCAAAAAUGAUCUUAUAUCAUCAAAAGUCGAGAAAUCUGUUUUUCCAUCUAAUGCCCCCUAUUAUGAUGGUCUUAUUCCCAUAUAAAAAAACAUAUAUAACAAGUAUUACACGAAGCAUCAAAAUUACAGAGAAAAUAGAGCAUCAAGAUACCAUUUUGAACUUACUGCAGUUGAUCCUGACCUCAACCCAUUUAUUGCUACUAUGAUCUCUUGAUCUGGUUUUCUCAUAUCUAAGUAAUACUAAAACCAAAUAUAUCAUGCCAUUGAGACCAGCAAUAUUACUUCUUUCAGGAUUGCUUUCAAGUAAAUCACUGAUGCAGACUACCAGCAUCACCCCUACCUCAGACCCUUGAAGAAAAGCUAGCAAAAGAAUUCCCUCGGAUAUUUAGUAAUCAUUUUUUCAGUGAUCUCUGUUUCCUAAAGCAUAAAUACCAAUAAAAUUCUAAAUAAAGUCUAUUUGAGUAAUGUUUCUUUGUGUGUCCACCUCUCUGCCAAAACAAUCUUGUUUUAAUGGGGAAAAGGUCAUCAACGUUCAAGUGCCUGGGUACAUCUUGUUACUACAUUUGCAAAAUCCCCUUCCCACCCAUCUCCAGAGACAGAGAGUAUAAACCAUCAAUAAACAUCUUCACCUUACAAAAUCCAGUUAUAUUACUGGAGUAGCUUUGCAUCAAUACAAUGCGCUCAUCAAAAGCCAAAAAAGAAAAAGAAAAAAAAAAAGUUUUUAUUAUGUAACGGCAACCGACCCUCUCCAAUUUUCAUUCAGCUUCAUAAAACUUGUUCUUUCAUAAUGAACAAGAUUUAACAGUCACUGUUUAACUGAACAUAGUAGAGAUCAUGGAAGGGGAUGGGUGUGGCAGAAGU
rnacentral:lncRNA from 1 species